rnacentral:lncRNA from 1 species
CUACUGUUCUAAGGUUACACUUUUGGGUUGGUCCUUUCCCCCCAAACCCAACCCUGCUUUUGUGUAUGAAAGUCCAUUGCAAAUUUAAAAAAAUCAAGAAGCACAUUUAUCUAAACUGCAAACAAAAUUCAGAGAAAUUAGACGGAGAAGAUUGUACCAGCACAAACUCCGGAGUGAAUGAGCUCUUUAAAUGGGCAUGGAAAGAAGGCUCAGCUUCACCAUAAGAGUCGGCCUGAUCACACCCAAGGGCAAAUCUCCAAGGGAGACUCCAAAGCAAGCAGGAUGGAAAUCGAAGAACUGGCUUCCCUGGCGUCACUAGAGCUUCCCGAAUCUUUCCAUGGGCAGAUGCCUUCCAAAGAGUGUUUGGGACCGCGGGACCUCUGGUAGCAGCUCCAUCCUUCACACAGGUCUGUAGUGUCAAGGAGCCAUUCUCUGCCAAAUUGGAAUCGCAUCUCCAUGGACAACCGGGCACAUUCGGUACACUCCAGGCAUGCUUAAAAGUCCCCUUACAGGAGAUCGUCACGUGAUCUCUCACGUGAUCGGUGAGGAAACUGAGGCCCCGGCGAUUCUAGAUGGAGAUAGAAUUUGAACCCACAUUUGUUGCUGUUCAGUCAUUAUUAUGCCUGGUUCUUUGCAAAGCAUGCCAGGCUCUUCUCUCCUCUACUGUCUCUCAAAGUCUGUCCAGGUUCACAUUCGUUGUUUCCAUGACACUGUCUAUUCCUCUCAUCUCCUGCUGCCGUCAUCUGAUUCCUACUGCAUGGGGCUAUCGCAGAGGGACCGAAAUGUGGGCAUCCAUUAGUACCGGAAUGAUAAACUUCUGUUUACUUGAGAAAAAGCCAGAAAGGUCUACAUGAACUGCUGCAGAGUGAAAUAAGCAGAAUCAGGAGAACAUUAUACACAGUAACUGAAAUACUGUGGGUGAUCAAAUGUGACAGACUUUGCUACUAAUGGCAAUGCAAUGAUCCAGGACAACUCUGAAGACUUGUGAGAAAGAAUGCCAUCCACCUCCAGAGAAAGAACUGUUGUAGAAAUGCAGAUGAAAACAUGAUUUAUCACUUGUUUGUAUGGGUAUAUGAUUUGGGUUUUAUAAGAUUAUUCACUUACAAAAAUAAAUAAUAUGAAAAUAUGCUUUCA